AUGCGAUUGCUGUACUCGAUCACCUGGGAUGGGAAAGAGCCCAUGUCAUUGGCCAUUCAAUGGGUUAAUCAAGCUCUUCUCAAGCUGAUCAAGGUAUCAGAAAUGAAGGUUGUCCAGCAUGAUUGGACUGACUUGCCUAACAAUAGCCCUGGUGAGUAUUUCCAUGCUCAGAAUGAUUUCCCGGUCUCAUUUAUUCAUUCUCUGAAGCAUUUGUGCAUGUUAGAGAAUCCCGAGAUCGACCUAGUCUUCAAACUUUUUGAUGAAAGGAUGACUCUAAAAUGAUGAAAGAAUUCAUUGUCUUAAUGACGCCUUAUGCAAACUAUGCUAAAUAUAAUUGGGAAUGCGGUGAAGUUCACAAAGCAAGGCUACGUAUCAGUUGUAGCUUCCAUUGCAAAACUAAAGUCUUUAGCGGAGUGGCAACCAACCGAUUUCCAUCCAGUCUUUAGCAAUGUCCACUUCUACCUGAGAGUGCAGGUUGAUGGCUUUUGCAGUUUAGCUUCAUUUAGCAUGUAUAGAUUGUCCUUUUGUGCAAAACUCCUUAUCUUCAGCUCUCUCUCUCUCUCUCUCUCUCUCUCUCUCUCGGCUUGCUAUAUAUUGCUUUGCUUCAUGUUCUCUUGCACUGAUAAAUUUGAAUUACAGCGCAUCCAAUAUCAGAAAACAUGGCUGUCUUUUGUAAAAAUCGAUCUGGGUUAUCAUUGUCUUAAUGACGCAACUGACUUGGAUUCUCAUAACAAGUUAAGGACUCUGGCUGUGGCAUACAGCCACAAGAUAUUUCUCAAAUAUUUACCAGAUUUAUUCAUCCUCGAAGUGGAUCUAAUCGAGGUAGUGGCGGUGUAGGACUUGUACUUGCUAUUUGCAAAAGGUAGAUUGCACACUGCUUAACGCUUUUGCUCAAAUUGCAACUUUCUUUUCUUGUGUAAGCAUAUAUGGUCGUUUGGACGCUUUACUGAUUACUAGUUCGUCAAGCAUAUGAAGCCCUAUUGUCUCAUGCACACUAAACUGUGAGUCAGAAUGUCCAACCUUGGGAGGGCUUCAAAUGAGUUCAGUUGAAUCAGGAAAGAUCUAUGGAUCUUUGAACCUUAAAUUUUAUGCUUCUCGAAGCAUAAUAUCAAAUAGCAGCCCUUGAGGUUGUGGAU